AAGAGUUGUUGGCGUUUGGAAGUUAAUGAAGAGAAUAUCAAGAGCAUCAUCAUCUCUUUGUCUGGGUCUUCACUCGCUUACUCAUAAAGGCCCUGCUCUUCGUGCUCUCAUUUCCUUGGUGGCGGUUGCUGCUAGGGUUUCCCCGGGUCAGCCGCUAAACGCUUACUUCUCAUCAUCUUAUUCGUCUUCAUCGCUUAGAAUUCCAGUCAUGCCGGGUUUAGAUCCAACGGAGCUCGAGUGGCCGGCGAAGAAAGUCAGAGACACUUUCAUUAAGUUCUUUGAGGAUAAAAAUCACGUUCGCUGGAAAUCAAGUCCUGUUGUUCCUCUCAAUGACCCCACUCUCCUCUUUGUUAAUGCUGGCAUGAAUCAAUACAAGCCUAUUUUUUUGGGGACUGCUGACCCCAACACCGCCUUGAGUAAGCUAACACGGGCAUGCAACACCCAGAAGUGCAUUCGUGCAGGUGGGAAGCAUAAUGAUCUUGAUGAUGUGGGGAAGGACACUUACCACCAUACUUUCUUUGAGAUGUUGGGAAAUUGGUCCUUUGGUGAUUAUUUCAAGAAAGAGGCGAUUGAGUGGGCCUGGGAGCUUUUAACUAAGGUGUAUAAGUUGCCUGCUGAUCGGUUAUAUGCUACCUAUUUUGGUGGUGAUGAGAAAGCUGGUCUUGCUCCUGAUACUGAAGCAAGAGAUAUAUGGCUCCAAUUUCUUCCACCUGGACGUGUGCUACCAUUUGGUUGUAAAGAUAAUUUUUGGGAAAUGGGUGAUACUGGUCCAUGUGGCCCUUGUACCGAAAUACAUUAUGAUAGAGUUGGUAAUCGCGACGCAGAAUUAUUGGUUAAUAAUGAUGAUCCUACGUGCAUUGAGAUAUGGAACCUUGUCUUUAUUCAGUUCAAUAGGGAAAGUGAUGGUUCCUUGAAAUCUCUUCCUGCCAAGCAUGUUGACACAGGACUAGGUUUUGAGAGAUUGACUUCUGUACUUCAGAGCAAGAUGAGCAAUUAUGAUACUGAUGUGUUCAUGCCCAUCUUUGAUGCUAUCCAGCAGGCAACAGGGGCACGACCUUACUCUGGAAAGGUUGGUCUUGAUGAUGUAGACAAGGUUGAUAUGGCCUACAGGGUUGUUGCUGAUCACAUUAGGACACUCUCAGUUGCCAUUGCUGAUGGUGCUUGUCCAGGCAAUGAGGGUCGUGAGUACGUUCUCCGACGGAUUUUACGCCGAGCUGUUCGGUAUGGAAGUGAGGUCUUGAAUGCUCAAGCAGGAUUUUUUAGUGGGCUAGUGAAUGUCUUUGUGAAAGUGAUGGGUGAUGUUUUCCCAGAGCUAAAACAAAAUGAGAAACAUAUUAGAGAAAUAAUUGCAGAAGAGGAAGCAAGUUUUGGAAAGACUUUGCUUAAGGGAAUUGAGAAAUUUAAGAAGGCUGCGCAGGAGGUUCAGGGGAAGGUAUUGAGUGGACAGGAUGCAUUUGUCUUGUGGGACACAUAUGGCUUCCCAUUAGAUUUGACACAGUUGAUGGCAGAAGAAAGAGGACUUCGAGUUGAUGUUGAGGGUUUCAAUAAUGCCAUGGAUGAGGCAAGGGAAAGAUCAAGGAAUGCCCAAAAUAAGCAAGCUGGUGGUGAUAUUGUCAUGGAUGCUGAUGCCACAUCUGCAUUGCAUAAGAAGGGUAUUUCUAUAACAGAGGAUUCCUCUAAAUUUACAUGGUUCCAGGAUCAUGAAAGUGUAAUAAAAGCCAUCUAUAAUGGUUCGGAGUUCUUGGAAACUUCUAACAAUGGCAAUGAAGUUGGUAUAGUUUUGGAAUCCACUAGUUUCUAUGCUGAGCAAGGUGGUCAGAUUUUUGAUACUGGAUCACUUGAAGGAACUUUUGGGUCAUUCCAAGUUUCCAAUGUCCAAAUUUUUGGAGGAUUUAUUCUUCAUAUUGGUUCUCUUACUGGAGAAGGCAAAUUCUUUGUGGAUGAUAAAGUUAUCUGUAAGGUGGAUUAUGAAAGGCGUAAACUCAUUGCCCCAAACCAUACAUGUACACACAUGUUGAAUUUUGCUCUCAGGGAAGUGCUUGGAAAUCAUGUUGAUCAGAAGGGAUCAAUUGUUCUUCCUGAAAAAUUAAGAUUUGAUUUUUCUCAUUGCAAGCCGGUGGAUCCUGACCAUUUGAGAAAGAUUGAAUCUAUUGUGAACGAGCAAAUCAAAGCAGAAUUAGAAGUAUCCGCAAAGGAAGCAACUCUUUCUGAAGCCAAGCGGAUCAAUGGUUUACGAGCUGUUUUUGGAGAGGUCUAUCCGGACCCAGUUAGAGUUGUGGCUAUUGGUCGAAAAGUUGAGGAACUCCUAGCUGAUCCAGACAAUAAGGAGUGGCUGUCAAUCUCAGCAGAAUUGUGUGGAGGGACGCAUAUUUCAAAUACAAGGGAAGCAAAGGCAUUUGCCUUGUUAUCAGAGGAGGGGAUUGCAAAAGGAAUUCGAAGAAUAACUGCUGUGACAACUGAUGGUGCUUUUAAGGCAUUGGAGCUAGCAUCUUCACUUGAGCAGGAAGUUGAUGAGGCAUCCAAGAUGGAUGGAAGCUUGCUGGAAAAGGCAAUGCAUAUCUGAUAGAAGCAGCGGUAAUAGAGCAAAAAUGUUGUUGGGCCACAGUACCCAAGCAGAAUGUUUCUAGAAGUGGAUAGGUGGAAGGAAAUCAGAGAGGGAAUAAUUCUGUUUGAGAGAAUCAAGUAGAUACCACUGCCAGGGACACGCGAGCACAGGGACAGGAAAAGAUAGAUGUGAAAGAUUUGGUUCCAGAGAAAGAUUCGGUUCUGAUUUCUGAAAAGAAUAAUAAGAAGUAAUGGACAGAAAAUUUUGCGGGAAAAUCAAGAAAGGAAAAAGAAUUUUAAGAAAAGCUGCACCAAAAAUUUGAAAAUAAGGAAUUUUCAAGAAAGAAAGAGAGGGAAAUAGAGAGAGAGAGUGUGUGUGUGAAGGAAACAAGAAGAAGAGCAGAAGGAAUCUAGAAUUAUCAGCUAUAAACCCUAGAAAUAGGGCCAAAGCUGGGAAAGGAAGAGAAGUAGAAGACAAAUAGAACAUUGUUGUGAAAGGCACGCCUCAGGCGCAAGGAGCACCAGGCUCCAAGGGCAGCAUCUGAAAGCCCCCCAGGUGGGCGCCGUUGCGAAGUUGCACCAGGUGCAAGGCCCUAUCUAGGCUCGCCUUUGUGUUCCAAGCGCAUCAAACCCCAAUUUCACACUUCCAGCAAAUGUGAAAGAGAAAGAAAAAGGAGAAGACAAGGAAGCAGAAGAAACAGAAGAAGAAAAAUAACUUACCUUGUCUUCUCUAGCUGCCUCCAGAAGAUCUAUAGGCGAGCGCCUAGGCUCCAGCGCUCCUUGGUGCCUUAGUGCAUCUUGUGCGUCUUGGGCCUUUAAUAACUAUGGAUAAAGAAGAAAUUGAGAAAGAACAUAGAAGAGAAUAUUAUAGAAGAAAAACCUGAAACAGCUUCCUCACAGAAUUUGGAGAAUUAGCAGCCCUGAUGGAAAAGGAGUCAAGCAAUGCCCCUCCUUUACCUUGCUUUGAUACCAAUUUGUCAAUAUCAACUUUGAAACAGCCUCUCUACUGAAUGGAAGGAGAGUUACAGAAGAAUAAAUAGAUGUUGGAGUAGACAGGGAGUAUUAGAAGAGAGAAACAGAAGAGCAAUAGCUGAGAAAGAUCAUCUGAAUUGAUAUUGUUUUUGGAUGCUUCUCAUACAGCUAUUACUCUUUUCUUUUUUCUUUUUUUUUUAUUUGUUUUUAUUUUGUAAAUUAAUAGAGAUCUGGCUAUAGUAACUAUUUUUAACUUUCUUGCUACCUAAUCUUGACUCCUUUAACAACCUGUAACUAAUGUUUAACUAAUCUCCAAACCAACUCUUUACUUUUUCUCCGAAACUAUUCCUCUGCCUUCUCUUAUGUGACUGCACAUUGGGAAGGAGAUUAUAUGUGACAGCACAUUGGGAGGAUCUCCUUCUCUCCUCCUUCCCCAUUUUUAAAGUUUCUCUAGUGUACAUGCUGAUAACUUGAAACUAUUUAUGUGGACAAUUGCUGCCUUUGUUUAGUGGCAUGUUGGUUCAGGUCCUUAAUUCUAAAGAAAUGAUGAUAAUGAUUUUGGUAGGAGGAGGAUGUAUUCUUGAAAAAGGUUAGACAAAAAGAUCCAUUAGGGAGAUUCUUGGCUUUGAAAAAAUUCUUGAUAUUUUGCUUCAAAUUUGGAGAUUGCUUUGGUUUUUAGCUACUUUGUCUUUUGAAGGUCUUUUGCUUGUCAGAUCAUAUAAUAUAAUUUAUCAAGUAGUUCUAAUUUUGGAGUACCAGAAGUAUUGAAACCGAAUAUGAUAUUUAUAUUUCCAUUCAACAGAAAGUAGCCUCUUUAAAAAGUCGUGUGGACUCGGCACCUAUUCCAGCAGCCAAGAAAGCUGACAUUAGGUCUAAGAUAUCUGUUCUUCAG